CACUCUGUAGCUCAGUUGGUUAGAGGCUGCACCUGGAAUCGCAGGACCGCAGGCUCGAUUCCUGCCAGAGAGC